GCCCAACCCAGGGACCAAGCCCAGGACCUUCUUGCUAUAGGGCAGCAGCGCUAACCACUGCAUCACUGCACUGCCCAGUUUCAGUACAGUAAACUAAAGUUCUGCAUGGUACAAUAACUGACACUAAAUAGGUGAGAAUAAUAAAACUUGAUAACUUGAUCUCAUUUCAGAAUAACGUAAACUUGUGUGUCAUACCAUGCGAGGAAGGCACGACUCAAAUGUAGCUUGGUUAACGGAAAACCCCAGUAGGGAAACUUAUGUAGAGAUGAAGAUGGGUUUUGAGGGCGAUGACACGUAACAAUGUCAGGACCGCAGAAUUACUCCCACUCGUUACGUUUGAGUAACUGAAACCUGUCGUGUUAGGAUAACUUAAUCUCAUUUCUAAAUAACAGAAACUUGUGUGUCAUACCAUGCGAGGAAAGCACGACUCAAAUGUAGCUUGGUUAACGGAAAACCCCAGUAGGGGAACUUAUGUAGAGAUGAAGAUGGGUUUUGAGGGCGAUGACACGUAACAAUGUCAGGACCGCAGAAUUACUCCCACUCGUUACGUUUGAGUAACUGAAACCUGUCGUGUUAGGAUAACUUAAUCUCAUUUCUAAAUAACAGAAACUUGUGUGUCAUACCAUGCGAGGAAAGCACGACUCAAAUGUAGCUUGGUUAACGGAAAACCCCAGUAGGGGAACUUAUGUAGAGAUGAAGAUGGGUUUUGAGGGCGAUGACACGUAACAAUGUCAGGACCGCGGAAUUACUCCCACUCGUUACGUUUGAGUAACUGAAACCUGUCGUGUUAGGAUAACUUAAUCUCAUUUCUAAAUAACAGAAACUUGUGUGUCAUACCAUGCGAGGAAGGCACGACUCAAAUGUAGCUUGGUUAACGGAAAACCCCAGUAGGGGAACUUAUGUAGAGA